AAAAAACCCGGGCCAAGUAGAGAGAGUAGGCCUACGCGGCGUAUUUCAGCAGACACCUCCGAAUCAUCAGGAGAUGAAUUCAGCGAACCUGACCCGGAUUCGUCAGAUGAGUGGUUGCCGUCAACCGGGAACAGCAGAGCCUCAUCCCCUGACGCGUCUCCAGGAAGACGUGAGGGAGGUAAGAGCUAACUUUACCCUUCUCUCCUCCUUCAGUCCGUCACAUGAACGCCAUUUAGUCCCAUUAGUUCAUUACUGCAGCUAAUAUGUGUUGCCAGUAGCCUACUGAUGUGAAGGGAUUUACAAUUUACAGAUCGUGCGUCCAGCAGAGCUCGCACUCCCACUCCCACUGUUAGCUUCAGUCCAUGUCCCAUUGAACGCCAUUUAGUCCCACUAGUUCAUAUUGUAACAUCUGUUGCCAGCCUACUGAUGUGAAGCAAUUUUCAAUUUACAGAUCAUGCAUCCAGCAGAGCUCCCAAUCCUGUUGGCAAAGCGAAGAAGAAAGGUCGUGCAUCCAGCAGAGUUCCGACUCCUAUUUGCAAAGCGAAAAAGAAAGGUCGUGCAUCAAGCAGAGGAUGCGGGUAUGACUGGCAUCAAGCUGGCUGGCAACUAAACAAUUUCCCCUUCACUGCAACCCCUGGACCCCGGAGGGCUGCUGCGGAGCUGGAUAGCGACCUGCCAGCUGACUUCCUGACGCUCUUCUUGACUGACGAGCUGCUCCAAAAUAUUGUGGAUCAGACCAACCUAUAUAUCAAUAUUUUGAAGCACACCCUGACAAUCUGCCAUAUAGCAGAGGAAAUGCAUGGAAACCAGUGUCAGUCCCAGAAUUGAAAACUUUCUUUGGACUCAGUUUUCUCAUUGGUUAUAUCAAAAAGCCUAGCCUUGAACUGUACUGGAGUGUUGAUGAGGUAGAUGCCACGCCCCAUUUCGGCAAGACUAUGCCAAGGAACAGAUUUCAGAUUAUAUGGAGGUUCCUUCAUUUCAACAAUAAUGCAUCACAGGAUGCAACUGACAAAAUGUACAAAGUCCGCCCAGUGUUAGAUUACAUUGUGGAAAAGUUCAAGGAGAUGUAUCAACCAGGCCAAAACAUUUGCAUUGAUGAGGGUAUGAUGCAGUGGCGGGGGAGCCUGUCUUUCAGGGUGUAUAACCCACAAAAGCCUGUGAAAUAUGGAAUCAAAUCCUACAUACUGUGUGACUCUGCCACAGGGUACUGCUUCAAUAUGCGUCCGUAUGUUGGGGAAGCUAGUACUCUGCCAGAGAUAGUGUUGUUUCUCCUUGAUCGUCUACCAGGUCAUGGCUACACAUUGUUCAUGGAUAACUUCUACAAUUCUGUAGCACUGUGUGAACGUUUACUGGGAGUGCAAACCAACGUCUGUGGAACACUGAGGAAACAUAGGGGGGAACCUCAGAUCAUCAGCGAGAUGACAAAGACUGACUUGGGGGUGGGGGAAAAAGUUGUGCGGCACAAUGAGAGGGUGAUGGUAGUAGCAUGGCAGGACAAACGGUUGGUGAGGAUGGUGACUACCUGCCACCAAGAUAGCAUGCAGAGGGUUGAUGUGUGGAGGAGGGGAAACAAAGACAAGGUUGCUCAGCUCAAGCCAGAGUGUGUUGUUGUGUACAAUGCAUCCAUGAAUGGGGUAGACAAGUUGGACCAAAAUAUUGCAUACUAUC